rnacentral:rRNA from 1 species
GACGAACGCUGGCGGCGUGCUUAACACAUGCAAGUCGAACGGAAAGGCCCUGCUUUUGUGGGGUGCUCGAGUGGCGAACGGGUGAGUAACACGUGAGUAACCUGCCCUUGACUUUGGGAUAACUUCAGGAAACUGGGGCUAAUACCGGAUAGGAGCUCCUGCUGCAUGGUGGGGGUUGGAAAGUUUCGGCGGUUGGGGAUGGACUCGCGGCUUAUCAGCUUGUUGGUGGGGUAGUGGCUUACCAAGGCUUUGACGGGUAGCCGGCCUGAGAGUGUGACCGGCCACAUUGGGACUGAGAUACGGCCCAGACUCCUACGGGAGGCAGCAGUGGGGAAUAUUGCACAAUGGGCGGAAGCCUGAUGCAGCAAUGCCGCGUGCGGGAUGACGGCCUUCGGGUUGUAAACCGCUUUCGCCUGUGACGAAGCGUGAGUGACGGUAAUGGGUAAAGAAGCACCGGCUAACUACGUG